GGAGGCUUCUGAGACCGAGAGCCCCUUGCAGAUAAGGAGUGUGGGGUUCAUCUCUGUACCUCCGUUCCUAGCCCGUUCCUGAACUUCAGGAGUGAAUGAGAAAAAGAAAUCGAAAGGAAAGGAAAGGAAAGGACAGGACUGCUGCUAGGUAUGGUGGAGGAGAAAGUUUAGUGCAGAUGAAAGGGAGAGCAUAGCCAGAGGCAGGACAUCUGAGUUCAGAGAGGUCUGGCCGGACUGAGCUGGGCCAUGUGGGGCACAGAAGAAGCCAGCUGCAGCAGCCAGGAGACAAGAGGCCUGUAGCCAAAAUGUCUGGAUUGCAUAGGGAAGAGCCUCUGGCGGAAGGGCAGCCCAGCCUCUGGGCUGGAGAGUUCAAGGCCGAGCGCAUGUCAGCCGUACUCUGUAACAGGACCCGAGAGACGCCCCAGACAGUCCCCUCUCCAGUGAAAAGAGGAGGGGCUGUGGAGAGCUGCAACAGAGGUCGGCCACUAAUAGCUCCUUCAUAGUCCUUGUUCGUUUGUCUCUGCAGACUCAGCUCACCACUAAGGAGCCUCAGGUUGCUUACGGGGCCUAAACUCCGCCUUCCUCCUCAGCUGCUUCACCGAGGAUCAAGCACUGGGCUAGGUGAAUGUCAGUUAUUCACUCUUAGCCCCGGACAAGCCCAGGGGCUCAGGGAAACCAACCUUUGCAGAACUUGCCCGUGGCUGGCCUUUUUGAGGCACAAUCUAAGCACAGCACAGAAGAACCAGACUCAGAUGCAGAAAAACUUCAGCCUGUAGGAGUCGUACAGAUCAGGUGGCCCCAUCUAGAGAUGACUACCCUUCUUCACCAAAAGGACAAUUGGCAAAAUGGCCAUCAUUAUGACAUGUUGGGCGCUGACUGCUUAAACAGGAGUGGAGCCCCUCGGUGGGCUUAGAUGCGAUCACCGGGUGGCUUUUCUGAAGGAAAACCAAGGCCUGGAAGCCACAGUCACCUUGAUACCUAAACCACACAAAGACCCAACAAAAAAAGAGAACUUCAGAUCUAUCUCUUUUAUGAACAUUGAUGCAAAAAUACUCAAUAAAAUACUGGCAAACCAAAUCCAAAAAACACAGCCAGACCCAGGUAGCAGACUCCAGGUUCAGCCUGACCAGGGAACCACCACGUUGCAAAUAUAGUAGAGACGACAGCACAGGAGAGAGCCAGCACAGGUGGGAAUUCUGGAGAGACUUCCCCCAGCGCAGCAGCCGUGUGAGAGAAACCCCUCAAGAGCCAUCACCCAUCCGCUCUGUCAGCUUCUGGAAGCAGUGCAGCCUUCUGGGGCCUUUUGCUGACUAGGUGUCCGUCCCAUACACACACUAGCACAUACUAGGUACACAUGGGCCUAGUGACGGGAUGUGGUGAUGAGCAGGUGGACAGGCAAUGGCCACCCAUUUUGAGACAGUUUCAGGAAGCAGGGGACUGAGGCUGGUGGACAGAGAACACACCAGGAAAGAACCCAUUUAAUUACUUGAUAACGUCCAAAAGGGAUCAGAGAGGCAUGUUGGGCAUCGCUGGAAAGAUUCUGCUUGCUUUGGAAACUUCUAGGAAAGGAGAGGUCCAGACUUCGUCUGAUCACUUCAGGAAGUAGGAGGAAAUUGAAGCAGUCAUUAACAGUCUCCCCUCCAAAAAAAGCCCUUGGCCAGAUGGUUUCAGUGCAGAAUUCUACCAGACCUUCAAAGAAGAGCUAACUCCAAUUCUCUCCAAACUAUUCCACAAAAUAGAAACAGAAGGAACAUUACCAAACUCAUUCUACGAAGCCACAGUCACCUUGGUACCUAAACCACACAAAGACCCAACAAAAAAAGAGAACUUCAGAUCUAUCUCUUUUAUGAACAUUGAUGGAAAAAUACUCAAUAAAAUACUGGCAAACCAAAUCCAAAAACACAUAAAAGAUAUCAUCUACCAUGACCAAGUAGGCUUCAUCCCAGGCAUGCAAGGGUGGUUCAAUAUAUGGAAAUCCAUCAAUGUAAUCCACCAUAUAAACAAACAGAAGAGAAAAACCACAUGAUCAUCUCCUUAGAUGCCGAAAAAGCACUUGACAAAAUCCAACACCCAUUCACAUUUAAAGUCUUGGAGAGAUCAGGGAUUCAAGGAACAUAUCUAAACAUAGUAAAGGCAAUAUAAAGGGUGGACUUUGACACAUCGUGGGGUUUUCAGUGGCCUGGGGUGGCCAUGCGGAAGAUUGAUGGAGAAGGAUGGUCUUUUGGAGGAGCCAGCUGUCAGGCCUCAAGAACCCUCAGAAAGACAGAGCAUGGCCAUGCUUACACAGAGCCUUAUUUUACUUCCUGCAUGUGAAACUGAAAAAAAAGAAAAGAAAAAGAAAGUCCUGAUUUUCCUUUUAUAGUGGUCAAAACUUCCAAAAUAGUUCUUUUUCCAGUUCAGUUACUUUAAGGAUAAGAUUAUGUGUGCAGGGAUAUUUAGCCAUCACUGCGUUCGGCAAACGCAGCUCUAGGGUGUUUGCAGCCACAGUGUCCUGUGUCCAUACCCUUGCAGGCUCCCGAGGCUCCACAGCAGCCUGCCCUUCCGCCCACAUGGAGCUGUGUCUCUCCGUCCUUCUCCAGGCUGAGAAGCCGGUGGCAUUCCUACAAAGAUAGCAGCAGGCAGUUGAUUUGGAACUAGACGGUGAGAUGGCAGGGGAUAAGGCCCCUGUCCCUGCCUCCAGGAAGCUCUGUAGUCCUAGGAACCCCGCUGAGGGCAGACUGGAUUGCUGUGGGCCUGGUGGGGUGAUGGGCUUGACCAGAUUUAGGAUUGCAAGUCCCACAUCUCAGGACUGCUUCCCCGCACCUCCAGGUUAGUGAGGAGAUCCUGGCCGUUCAACCUAGCAGGGACUCCAACUGGGGAUUCCUUCCCUCCUCAUCUCAUCCCUCACCUUCACUCACCACCCAACAGGCCUUUGAAACAAUCUAGCAUGUCCUACUAGAUAACGGUAGUAAAAUGAACAAUAGCAACCCACUUUAUAUCAUUUCUCCACCAUGCUGCUUGUCAUAAUCACUUGGAAAAUUUUAAAAAAUGAUGAAGGGCUUCGGUCCCACCUUGGUAAUGAGGUGUGACGGGCUUUCCACAAGUGUCCUCCUGUGCAGCAGAUGGAGAGUCACUACCUAGGCUUGAGGAUAUCAGAAGGAGGCGGUGGGAAAGGGGCAGCUGAGUCCUCUGUCCCUCAGCGGUUUCUGCUGGUAGCCAGACCCGGGCUCCUUCCUUGUGGCUGGCACAGGACAGGAUCCCACAGACUCCACAGCCUGCCUCCAGAGAUGCAGUGUGUGUGUGUGGGGGGGCAGCGUAGCAGCAGGCGAGGCUUGGACAGCCAAGGGAAGAGAUCCUCUGUAGUGGGUCUGAGGACCCCCGUCUGCCCAUUUCCAGCCUCCUGGCCCAGCUUCAACAGUUCCUGGGCUGCAGCUCCCCAGCGAGGUCCUAGGUUUUCCAUUUGUCACCUCCAUAAGAGAAAUUAACAGUUUGCCAGGUCCCGUGUAAACAGGAAGCCAAGCUGUUAACAGGAGCCCCCUGCCCUGCUGCCAGGCUCAGACCCGGUGGUGCCCCCCCCAGCCUGUCAAUUGUGAGGCAGAGAAAAGGAAGAGCCGUGGGAGCCGCUUUCUCUGGGCGCUGGCUGGGCUCCCUUGCAGUCACUUGAAUGCAAGUGUGUGUGGUGGGGGUGGCUGACAGCUGGGUGGCUCCAUCCUUUUUUGUUGUUGUUGGGGGAUGGCUGCUGAUUAAGUCAGGAGCAAAGCAAUGCUAUGGUAGUCCUGGCUGUGCGCACCGAUGCUGUGAGCUGCCGAGAACAAUUAAUUGCCGUGUUGUGGGAUGCGCACAUGGGUCAAGCAGGCAGUGGAAAGCGUAAGCAUGCGGGGAACCGUCAAGCAAAUCUUGUGCCCACUAGAAGCCGGCUCCCCACAGGACCCAAGACCUCCGUGGUGACAGGGGCCUGGUCACCUCCUGCAGGCCAACGGCCUUCCCAACUGGGGUGCUGUGGCUUGCUGGUAAGCUGCAGGUGGAUCACGCUCUGCCAGCAAGGCAGGAGCCUCUCAGCUCUGUGGUGGCGGAUUCACCCAUUCACUAGAAACUAUGGUGCAAAAAGUGCCCAUUUUCCCUCUAGGUUGAAGUAUGAAAAAGGGGUUCCUUCCCCAAAACAGUUGUAGUUAUAGGCCUGGGUCUGUUGGUUGUGGUUUUUUUUUUUUUUUUUUUUUUUUAGAUCCAUUUUUUGUAUUUCAUGUAUGUGUUUUGCUUACAUGUAUGAGUGGGAUCAUGGUGCCAGUG